CACGUAGUUAGCCGUGACUUUCUCACAGGGUACCGUCGCUGUCUUCUUCCCCUGCGACAACAGUUUACAAUCCGAAGACCUUCUUCCUGCACGCGGCGUUGCUGCGUCAGGGUUGCCCCCAUUGCGCAAUAUUCCCCACUGCUGCCUCCCGUAGGAGUCUGGGCCGUGUCUCAGUCCCAAUGCGGCCGAUCAACCUCUCAGUUCGGCUACAGAUCGUCGCCUUGGUGAGCCGUUACCUCACCAACCAGCUAAUCUGACGCGAGUCCAUCCAUAAGCGAUAAAUCUUUCAAAAUUCUAUGAUGCCAUAAAAUUUCAAUAUGCGGUAUUAGUCCUCGUUUCCAAGGAUUAUCCCCCUCUUAUGGGCAGGUUACUCACGCGUUACUCGCCCGUCCGCCACUUUCCACCCAACAGUUCACCCCGAAGGGAUCACAAAUGGGUUUCUCGUUCGACUUGCAUGUGUUAGGCACGCCGCCAGCGUUCGUCCUGACGCAGGAUCAAACUCU
rnacentral:rRNA from 1 species